rnacentral:rRNA from 1 species
UACGUAGGGUGCGAGCGUUGUCCGGAAUUACUGGGCGUAAAGAGCUCGUAGGCGGUCUGUCGCGUCGGCUGUGAAAACCCGGGGCUCAACCCCGGGCCUGCAGUCGAUACGGGCAGACUAGAGUGCGGUAGGGGAGACUGGAAUUCCUGGUGUAGCGGUGAAAUGCGCAGAUAUCAGGAGGAACACCUGUGGCGAAAGCGGCUCACUGGACCAUAACUGACGCUGAUGCACGAAAGCUAGGGGGAGCAAACAGG